AGGAUAAACGCUGGCGGCGUGCCUAACACAUGCAAGUCGAACGCGCUUUCCUCUUCGGAGGGGAGCGAGUGGCGGACGGGUGAGUAACACAUGGGUACCUACCCCACAGUGAGGGAUACCGGCGAGAAAUCGCCGACAAUACCGCAUACGCUUCUCUUUGGAGACAGAGGGAAGCAAAGUUGCGCAAGCGACGCUGAGGGAUGGGCCUGUGGCCGAUUAGCUAGUUGGGGGGUAAUGGCCUCCCAAGGCGACGAUCGGUAGCUGGUCUGAGAGGACGAUCAGCCACACUGGGAUUGAGAACGGCCCAGACUCCUACGGGGGGCAGCAGUGAGGAAUUUUCCGCAAUGGAGGCAACUCUGACGGAGCAACGCCGCGUGCAGGAGGAAGGUUUUCGGAUCGUAAACUGUCUUUUCGUCGGGGACGAGCAAGGACGGUACCCGAGGAAGAACGCCCCGGCUAACUACGCGCCAGCACGCCGC
rnacentral:rRNA from 1 species